rnacentral:rRNA from 1 species
UACGGAGGGGGCUAGCGUUGUUCGGGAUUACUGGGCGUAAAGCGCACGUAGGCGGCUUUGUAAGUUAGAGGUGAAAGCCCGGAGCUCAACUCCGGAAUAGCCUUUAAGACUGCAUCGCUAGAACGUUGGAGAGGUAAGUGGAAUUCCGAGUGUAGAGGUGAAAUUCGUAGAUAUUCGGAAGAACACCAGUGGCGAAGGCGACUUACUGGACAACUGUUGACGCUGAGGUGCGAAAGCGUGGGGAGCAAACAGG